rnacentral:rRNA from 1 species
AGCGAACGUUUGCGGCGGGCUUAACACAUGCAAGUCGAACGGGCUGUUCCUUCGGGGGCAGUCAGUGGCGCACGGGUGCGUAACACGUAGGUAAUCAACCCUCUGGUUGGGGAUAACACUUCGAAAGGAGUGCUAAUACCCGGUAUGGCGCAGCGGUCUUCGGAUCGCGGCGAGAAAGACCCGCAAGGGUUGCCAGAGGACGAGCCUGCGGCCCAUCAGCUAGUUGGCGAGGUAACGGCUCACCAAGGCGAAGACGGGUAGCUGGUCUGAGAGGAUGAUCAGCCACACUGGAACUGAGACACGGUCCAGACUCCUACGGGAGGCAGUAGUAAGGAAUAUUGGAC